GUAUACAUGUGUAGAUACCACUAUGACACAGUAUACGGGAUAGGGUUCGACUCCGGAGAGGGAGCCUGAGAGGAUCUACCACAUCCAGGAAGGCAGCAGGCGCGCAAAUUACCCACUUCCAGAACGGAGAGGUAGUGACGAAAAAUAACGAGACAGUCCUCUUCGAGGUCUGUCAUCGGAAUGGGUACAAUUUAAAUCCUUUAACGAGGAUCUAUUGGAGGGCAAGUCUGGUGCCAGCAGCCGCGGUAAUUCCCGCUCCAUAGCGUAUAUUAAUGCUGUUGAGGUUAAAACGCUUGUAGUUGAACUUGCGGCCUUGGAGAACGGUCCCCCGAAAGGGCGGUCACUGUCUCUCCGAGCCUAAUAUCGAGUCGUCUCUUUGUGCUCUUUACCGAGUGCAUAGAGUGACUAGAACGUUUACUUUGAAAAAAUUAGAGUGCUUAAAGCAGGCGAAAUAGCCUGAAUAUUCUUGCAUGGAAUAAUGGAAUAGGACCUCGGUUCUAUUUUGUUGGUUUUCGGAAAUCGAGGAAAUGAUUAAGAGGAACAGACGGGGGCAUUCGUAUUCCGGCGCUAGAGGUGAAAUUCUUGGGACCGCCCGGAAGACGAAACGACUGCGAAAGCAUUUGCCAAGAAUGUUUUUCAUUAAAUCGAAGAGAGGAAAGUUAGAGGGUUCGAACGCGCAUCAGGAUACCGUGCGUUAGUUUCUUACCCGUAGACGAUGACAACGCAGGAGAUUAAGUCGGCGUUUAUAUAUGACCCCAAUAGAGAGGCUUCGCGGGGAAAUCCAAAAUGUUGGGGGUUCAAAAAAAAGCCGACCUUUUGAGUCCAUCGUUCGACCCAGUACUGAGGCACUGGUGCGGAUGCUAAAUUGUAGAAUUCCACCUACUAAUCUGGGCGCAACCACGUUUGUUGUUUCGUAUGAUGCACCAUUCGUGGCGAGAUCGUAUCCUGUUUGUCAGUAU
rnacentral:rRNA from 1 species